AUGGACUCUGAAGAAGAUUCAUCGGUACAACACGUUAAUGUUGAACAGAACACUACAAAGGGCACUAAAAAGUCUAGGACUAGGAACACAUGUCGCGUUGUACAUUCUGAUGAAGAAUCAGAAGAGGAUAGCCAAGAGAAAGAUGAAUGCAAAUUCAAGGAAUCUAGACCCAAAAGAAAGCGUACAAUAAGCAUUACUGAAGAUGAAGAUUCCGAAAAAGAUGGAAUUGAGAAUUAUUCAAAGACCAGCAUAACGCUUACUGGUGUUGAUAAGGGAUCUAAGAAGAAAGGAAUUCAGAAUAAUAACCAUGAGCAAGUGAACAAAUUAUCACUUUCAAAAACUAUAAAGCAAGAAUCAGAGGAUGAUGAACUCACUAUUGACCAGACUAAAAGGGGUAGGAGACGGAGCACAAGUCGUGCUGCACAUCUUGACGAUGAAUCAAAAGCUGAAGGUAGUCAGGAAAUAAACAAAUCCAAAUAUAUGGAAUCAAGCCCCAAGAGGAAGCGUGUUGUACGCAAAUGUGCCGGUGUUGAUCAGGAGCACAAUGAUUCAAGGCCUAGGACAAGGCUUAGUUGUGUCGAUAAAAAAUCACUGAGCAAAGGCAUUCAGAAGUCUAGUGUAUUAAGGACUCGAAAGACAAGUCACUAA
rnacentral:rRNA from 1 species